rnacentral:misc_RNA from 1 species
UAUCAAUUUCAUUUAUCAGGGCACAAUACAAAUUUAAUUCUGCAGGAUUGAUUCUCCCAUCUAUCAAACAAAAGCAAUAAAGAACAAAGGAUUUUAGUCAUAUUAUCCAUUCAAAAACAAGUUUAUAAUCUCUUCAAGCUUUUCUUUCUCGCGUCGAUCUUCUUUUUGUCUGCAGGGAGUUUCGCCAAUCCAGUUUCCUUCUUCAUAGUCAGUGAUGGUGGUGCUGCUGACCCACUAACUGCGGAUACAGCGGUUAGUGGGUCAGCAGCACCAC